GGUAGCUAACUCGUGAUUCAAAGCAUAUGCUCUGCCCUCUUUAGGAAAUGGAGUUCCCACUGCCCCUUUUCCUGAGGGGGUUUCCAUCUGUUCAGCAAUACAGAUUUGACCGUGGGUUAUCAUUUAUUAAUUCAGACAUUUGGGAGGGAGACACGCUGGCUGUGCAGAGAUGCAAACAGAGCCCCGGCCUCGGCAUCAGAAUCCCGGGUGCUCCCAAGAUUUCCUCCUAGGCACUCCAGCCUCCGGAGCCCUGGGGUUUGGAAGGAGCAGCCCUGCCUGCCUUCCAUACAUGAUGUAUCGUAUCACAGACAGAUGCCCUAUGGAACCUAUUACUUUGCAUCAGUAUAUUUAAAUUUGGAUCUAAAGCAAGAGGAAUUUGAAUACUUCUGCUACUCAUCAUAAAGGGCAUAGGGGGAUUCUGUAUGCAAUCAGGAUAAAGUCUUAGAAUAGAAGUUCCUUUGGUGAGGGAGAGGACCAUUUUUGCGGCUUGGAAAUGAAGAUGAUAAUAUCUGGUCUCACCCAACUGGACAUAAUUUAAAACUUUAACAUCCCUUCUUUCUGGCUUUAUUUGUAAAUGUUGAUCCUAGCAUUAUGAACCUCAGAGCCUUUCCUAUUUUCUUGUUUCACAACUCCUCAGGAAUGUGCAAAAGGAAAGGUAAUAAAGGAAAAUCUUUUCAAGAUAAAACAUGAUUCAUAAAGGUGACAGCCAUGCCAUAUGUGAACAGUGAUUAACAGCUGCAGAGUCUGCAAACUGCUUUUUAAAAAUAAAGUGAUAAAGCAGAUUUUCCCAUUA